GAUGAACGCUGGCGGCGUGCCUAAUACAUGCAAGUCGAACGCUUCACUUCGGUGAAGAGUGGCGAACGGGUGAGUAAUACAUAAGUAACCUGGCAUCUACAGGGGGAUAACUGAUGGAAACGUCAGCUAAGACCGCAUAGGUGUAGAGAUCGCAUGAACUCUAUAUGAAAAGUGCUACGGGACUGGUAGAUGAUGGACUUAUGGCGCAUUAGCUUGUUGGUAGGGUAACGGCCUACCAAGGCGACGAUGCGUAGCCGACCUGAGAGGGUGACCGGCCACACUGGGACUGAGACACGGCCCAGACUCCUACGGGAGGCAGCAGUAGGGAAUUUUCGGCAAUGGGGGAAACCCUGACCGAGCAACGCCGCGUGAAGGAAGAAGUAAUUCGUUAUGUAAACUUCUGUCAUAGAGGAAGAACGGUGGAUAUAGGGAAUGAUAUCCAAGUGACGGU
rnacentral:rRNA from 1 species